rnacentral:rRNA from 1 species
GAUGAACGCUGGCGGCGUGCCUAAUACAUGCAAGUCGAGCGAACGGACGAGAAGCUUGCUUCUCUGAUGUUAGCGGCGGACGGGUGAGUAACACGUGGAUAACCUACCUAUAAGACUGGGAUAACUUCGGGAAACCGGAGCUAAUACCGGAUAAUAUUUUGAACCGCAUGGUUCAAAAGUGAAAGACGGUCUUGCUGUCACUUAUAGAUGGAUCCGCGCUGCAUUAGCUAGUUGGUAAGGUAACGGCUUACCAAGGCAACGAUGCAUAGCCGACCUGAGAGGGUGAUCGGCCACACUGGAACUGAGAAACGGUCCAGACUCCUACGGGAGGCAGCAGUAGGGAAUCUUCCGCAAUGGGCGAAAGCCUGACGGAGCAACGCCGCGUGAGUGAUGAAGGUCUUCGGAUCGUAAAACUCUGUUAGUAGGGAAGAACAUAUGUGUAAGUAACUGUGCACAUCUUGACGGUACCUAAUCAGAAAGCCACGGCUAACUACGUG